rnacentral:rRNA from 1 species
UACAGAGGGUGCAAGCGUUAAUCGGAAUUACUGGGCGUAAAGCGUGCGUAGACGGUAGCGUAAGUCGGGUGUGAAAGCCCCGGGCUCAACCUGGGAAUUGCAUUCGAGACUGCUCUGCUAGGGUGCGGAAGAGGGAAGCGGAAUUUCCGGUGUAGCGGUGAAAUGCGCAGAUAUCAGGAAGAACACCCGUGGCUAAGGCGGCUCUCUAGUACGGUACUGACGCUGAGACGCGAAAGCGUGGGGAGCGAACAGG